rnacentral:rRNA from 1 species
GGUGAACGCUGGCGGCGUGCUUAACACAUGCAAGUCGAACGAGAAGUGAAGACGGAAACCUUCGGGCGGAAGGCUUUAUUUCGAGUGGCGGACGGGUGAGUAACGCGUGGGUAACCUGCUCAUACAGGGGGAUAACAGUUGGAAACGACUGUUAAUACCGCAUAAGACCACAGCACCGCAUGGUGCGGGGGUAAAAACUCCGGUGGUAUGAGAUGGACCCGCGUUUGAUUAGCCAGUUGGCGGGGUAACGGCCCACCAAAGCGACGAUCGAUAGCCGAUCUGAGAGGAUGACCGGCCACAUUGGGACUGAGACACGGCCCAAACUCCUACGGGAGGCAGCAGUGGGGAAUAUUGCACAAUGGGGGAAACCCUGAUGCAGCGACGCCGCGUGAGUGAAGAAGUAUUUCGGUAUGUAAAGCUCUAUCAGCAGGGAAGAAAAUGACGGUACCUGAGGAAGAAGCCCCGGCUAACUACGUG